AAACCAUGGUUUGGAGAUUUUUCAAAUACUCCUUGAAUCUUUCUCAAGCUUCAUAUAGUUUCUCCCCCGGAAGCUAUUAGAAAUCAUAGAUCUUAUCACGAAUUUU